UCUCUGGUACCGGAGGUACCGAGGCUGCAUUACUCUUCCGGGACUGAUGGAGGCAGCAUAUACGUGCGUGUGUAUGAGACGCUCCACAAGAGUUAAAGAAGAGGAAGAACGCCUCACACGAGCACACGGGAAUCUCUCUAAAGUAGUUUCCUAAAGUAGUUUGUCGCUAUCAAACAUAGAAUUUGGCAAAGCUCUUGAAAGACAGAUGCCCCGAUCUCUUUAAAGAAUUCGAGUAUCAGCCAGAGGAGGAUGUACACCAAGAGAGUCAGGAGAAAAGUCAACAAUCAUUAACACAGACAACCUAAACAGAAGCUCUUAAAAGUUUUCUAUAAUGUUGAAAUGUUUUAAUAAAAAAAAAUGUUUAAGUAUAA